AUUGAACGCUGGCGGCAUGCUUUACACAUGCAAGUCGAACGGUAACAGGCCGCAAGGUGCUGACGAGUGGCGAACGGGGGAGUAAUGCAUCGGAACGUGCCCAGUCGUGGGGGAUAACUACUCGAAAGAGUAGCUAAUACCGCAUACGAUCUAUGGAUGAAAGCGGGGGACCGUAAGGCCUCGCGCGAUUGGAGCGGCCGAUGUCAGAUUAGGUAGUUGGUGGGGUAAAGGCGCACCAAGCCAACGAUCUGUAGCUGGUCUGAGAGGACGACCAGCCACACUGGGACUGAGACACGGCCCAGACUCCUACGGGAGGCAGCAGUGGGGAAUUUUGGACAAUGGGCGCAAGCCUGAUCCAGCAAUGCCGCGUGCAGGAAGAAGGCCUUCGGGUUGCAAACUGCUUUUGUACGGAACGAAACGGCUCUGGUUAAUACCCGGGGCUAAUGACGUUACCGUAAGAAUAAGCACCGGCUAACUACGUG
rnacentral:rRNA from 1 species